UCCCUGGUGGUCUAGUGGCUAAAACUCUGCACUCUCAUUGCAGGGGUCUUAGGUUCGAUCCCUGCUCAGGGAA